rnacentral:rRNA from 1 species
GAUGAACGCUGGCGGCGUGCCUAAUACAUGCAAGUCGAACGCGCCGAGAAGGGAACUUGUUCCUUUCAACGCGAGUGGCGAACGGGUGAGUAACACGUGGGAAACCUACCCUUCAGCGGGGGAUAACCAUCGGAAACGAUGACUAAUACCGCAUAGUUGUUCCAGUCGCAUGACUGGAAUGGGAAAGACGGCUUCGGAUGUCACUGAAGGAUGGUCCCGCGGUGCAUUAGCUAGACGGUGGGGUAACGGCCUACCGUGGCUUUGAUGCAUAGUCGACCUGAGAGGGUGAUCGGCCACAUUGGUACUGAGACACGGCCCAAACUCCUACGGGAGGCAGCAGUAGGGAAUCUUCCGCAAUGGACGCAAGUCUGACGGAGCAACGGCGCGUGUGUUAAGAAAGUCUUCGGAUCGUAAAGCACUGUUAUCAGUGAUGAAUAGCCUCUAGAGUAACUGUUAUAGGUUUGACGGUAACUGAUCAGAAAGCCACGGCUAACUACGUG